rnacentral:rRNA from 1 species
UCCGGUUGAUCCUGCCGGAGGCCAUUGCUAUCGGGGUCCGAUUUAGCCAUGCUAGUCGCACGGGUUCAGACCCGUGGCGAAUAGCUCCGUAACACGUGGCCAACCCACCCUAUGGAAGACCAUACCCUCGGGAAACUGAGGUUAAUAGUCUAUACCCGUCCACACCUGGAAUGCGUGGACGCACAAACGCUCCGGCGCCAUAGGAUGGGGCUGCGGCCGAUUAGGUAGACGGUGGGGUAACGGCCCACCAUGCCCAUAAUCGGUACAGGUUGUGACAGCAAGAGCCUGGAGACGGUAUCUGAGACAAGAUACCGGGCCCUACGGGGCGCAGCAGGCGCGAAACCUUUACACUGCACGAGAGUGCGAUAGGGGGACUCCGAGUGCGAGGGCAUAUAGUCCUCGCUUUUCUGUACCGUAAGGUGGUACAGGAACAAGGACUGGGCAAGACCGGUGCCAGCCGCCGCGGUAAUACCGGCAGUCCAAGUGAUGGCCGAUAUUAUUGGGCCUAAAGCGUCCGUAGCUUGCUGUGUAAGUCCAUUGGGAAAUCGACGCGCUCAACGCGUCGGCGUCCGGUGGAAACUACACGGCUUGGGGCCGAGAGACUCGACGGGUACGUCCGGGGUAGGAGUGAAAUCCUGUAAUCCUGGACGGACCACCAAUGGCGAAAGCACGUCGAGAGACCGGACCCGACAGUGAGGGACGAAAGCCAGGGUCUCGAACCGGAUUAGAUACCCGGGUAGUCCUGGCUGUAAACAAUGCUCGCUAGGUAUGUCACGCACCAUGAGUGCGUGAUGUGCCGUAGUGAAGACGAUAAGCGAGCCGCCUGGGAAGUACGUCCGCAAGGAUGAAACUUAAAGGAAUUGGCGGGGGAGCA